AAUAGAGACGGGAGGGAGAUGAUGAAUUGUAUCAAAAAAUUGAUAGAGAAAUCUGUGAGUUGAGUGAGUUUUUUCUCCUCUGUUUUUGUAUUUUGCUCAAUUUUAGUGAUUCUCUUUUCUGCUUCGUGGACAUAGGCAUUGGGCCGAACCAUGUAAAGUUUGUGUUCUCUGUGUGUUUGUUGUUUAUUAAUUUUGGGUGUCCAUAAUCUUAACAAGAAGCUUCCUACUGGAGCCUCUGUUGUUAAGGUGUAUUCAACAUGUCAAUUUCAAACUUCUUCUGCACAUGAUUUUUAUAUCACACACAUCUAUCCUCAUCUAAAUAAGAAAAUAUGUGCACCUUUGUCAUAUAUAUUUUUUUGAAUGAUGGUUUAGGGGCCAACUAAAAAGGAGCAAAUUGAUGUUCAAGGAGACAUAUCCUAUGACAUCGUGGAGCUCAUUACGGAUUCUUGGCCUGAUGUAAGUUAUCAUUCACAUCUUCUCUCUUUAUCAUCACGUUUUCGGUUUAGACAAUAUUUUCAUUUGGGAAAAUUUUCAGGUGGGUCGGGAAUUUAAACAUGGCAUGUCUGUUCAAUUUUUAAUGGCCAUGUGUUCAAGUUGUUCCUAUUUUUCCUCAAAAAUGAUUGCAUGCCCCCCAUAUUGUUGGGUAGGCAUAUGACCAUGUGGUGUUUCCGAUAAUCAUUUCUAGGUUUGUGAGACCGGCACGUCAUAUUGGCCUCUUUUAUGAAAUGGUGGGGUGCCAGAAGCUGCAAAUUUUUUUAUUGAAAGAUGGAAAGAAAGUUCCGGCAUGUUGAAAUUUAAUUUGGAAAGUUUUCUGUAGCGGCGUUUUAUUCAUUAAUUUAGAAAGAAAUUUAGAAAGGGAAAAGUUGUGUAAAAUAUAAUUAUAUUUAUAUUUUUCUUUUCUUUUUUUUUUUAAAUCGUUACUCAAAUUCAUGAAUCAAACGGAUCAUUAAUGUUAUGCUCUUCUCUGCUUUUGUUACUCAAAUUAAUAUAUGAGAUUAAUAGUUAAUGUGUGG